rnacentral:rRNA from 1 species
CAUAGCCUUCAGCCCYUAUUAGUAUUGAAGGUGAUGCCUGCCCAGUGAAUUUUUAACGGCCGCGGGAUCCUACACCGUGCAAAGGUAGCAUAAUCACUUGUCAUCUAAAUAAUGACUAGUAUGAAUGGCCAAAUGAAGACUUUCCUGUCUCUUGUAACUAAUCAAUGAAACUGAUCUUUCAGUUCAAAAGCUGAAAUAACAACACAAGACGAAAAGACCCUGUGGAACUUUCAAGUGAUAACCAACUCAUGGUAUUAGCCACUUUUAGUUGGGGCAACUUUGGAACAAAACAAAACUUCCAAUUAUAGGUUCAAUUAAAUAUUGCUUUAGGUUUACACACCUCUAAGCCCACACCACUAACGACCCAGUACUACUGAUAAAAGAAACAAGCUACCCCAGGGAUAACAGCGCCAUCCCCUCUUAGAGUCCCAAUCGACGAGCGGGGCUUACGACCUCGAUGUUGGAUCAGGGCCCCCAAACAGUGCAGCAGCUGUUAAUGGUUUGUUUGUUCAACAAUUAAUGCCCUACGUGAUCUGAG